GACGAACCGUGCGAACGUUGUUCGGAAUCACUGGGCUUAAAGGGCGCGUAGGCGGGCUGCCAAGUCUGGGGUGAAAUCCCACGGCUCAACCGUGGAACUGCCUCGGAUACUGGCGGUCUCGAGGGAGGUAGGGGCAUGCGGAACUGUGGGUGGAGCGGUGAAAUGCGUUGAUAUCCACAGGAACUCCGGUGGCGAAAGCGGCGUGCUGGACCUCUUCUGACGCUGAGGCGCGAAAGCGUGGGGAGCGAACAGG
rnacentral:rRNA from 1 species